UACAGAGGUCCCAAGCGUUGUUCGGAUUCACUGGGCGUAAAGGGUGCGUAGGCGGUCGGGUAAGUCUGACGUGAAAUCUCCGAGCCUAACUCGGAAACGGCGUUGGAUACUAUCCGGCUCGAGGAGUGAAGGGGAGACUGGAAUACUUGGUGUAGCAGUGAAAUGCGUAGAUAUCAAGUGGAACACCAGUGGCGAAGGCGAGUCUCUAGGCACUUCCUGACGCUGAGGCACGAAAGCCAGGGGAGCAAACGGG
rnacentral:rRNA from 1 species